rnacentral:lncRNA from 1 species
GGGACGCUGGCUCCCACUGAGCCCGCGCCCUCUUCCUCGGGGCGAAGUGGCGGGCCACGGCGCCCCGAGCCUUGUAGGUCAGGCAAGGCAAGGGGCGCCCUAACCAGUCGCCGCUGGCCCGCGCCACCUGUUGGAGUGGGGAAGCCGGCGACGCGCGGCUACCGGCGGACUCAGGCUCAGCGGCAAAAGUGAAGUCCGGGCGGCGGAGCCGCGGGUUUCUGCUGAUAAGUGCAAAGAACCACCCUCUCGGUGCUAAGUGCACAGUAAACCCCAGAGUUUUAAUGCUAUCAUGCAGCCAACCCUCCAACAGAAGGCUUAAAUCUCCCCAAGCCGUGGGCCAGCCGGCAGAGAUUUCUCAGGCAGCUUCCCACGACCUGUUGCCAUUACCACCGCCUCAGAUAUGGAUUGGCUAGCAAUAGAAUUCAAAGGACUAAAGAGUCUGUGUGAUGCUACAGAUGAAAGCUCUACCCAGGUAAGUUAUAUUUUAAUUAAUAUCAUGCAUACCUUAUCUUAUUCCACUAAAGUUUUGAGGGGUCUCAUGGGAAUCCAUAUAAGAAAUAAA